UGGCGAAUAUUGCACAAUGGAGGGAACUCUGAUGCAGCGACGCCGCGUGAGUGAUGAAGGAAUUCGUUUCGUAAAACUCUGUUCUAUGGGAAGAAAAGGACUGUACCAUAGGAGAAAGCUCCGGCUAAAUACGUGCCAGCAGCCGCGGUAAUACGUAUGGAGCGAGCGUUGUCCGGAAUUAUUGGGCGUAAAGGGUGCGCAGGCGGCUUUACAAGUUGGAUGUGAAAUAUUGUGGCUCAACCACAAACGUGCAUCCAAAACUGCAAAGCUUGAGUUAAGGAGAGGUAAGUGGAAUUCCUGGUGUAGCGGUGGAAUGCGUAGAUAUCAGGAGGAAUACCGGUGGCGAAGGCGACUUACUGGACUUAAACUGACGCUCAGGCACGAAAGCGUGGGGAGCAAACAGG
rnacentral:rRNA from 1 species